rnacentral:rRNA from 1 species
CAGCCGCCGCGGUAAUACGUAGGGUGCAAGCGUUAAUCGGAAUUACUGGGCGUAAAGCGUGCGCAGGCGGUUCGGAAAGAAAGAUGUGAAAUCCCAGAGCUUAAAUUUGGAACUGCAUUUUUAACUACCGGGCUAGAGUGUGUCAGAGGGAGGUGGAAUUCCGCGUGUAGCAGUGAAAUGCGUAGAUAUGCGGAGGAACACCGAUGGCGAAGGCAGCCUCCUGGGAUAACACUGACGCUCAUGCACGAAAGCGUGGGGAGCAAACAGGAUUAGAUACCCUGGUAGUCCACGCCCUAAACGAUGUCAACUAGCUGUUGGGGCCUUCGGGCCUUGGUAGCGCAGCUAACGCGUGAAGUUGACCGCCUGGUGAGUACGGUCGCAAGAUUAAAACUUAAAGGAAUUGUCGGG